GCCGUACUCGGAGGAGCCAGCACCGCGGGCGCCGCCCCUCCCCGGUUUCCUAGGCGGCUGUGGUCGGCGGCUAAAUGUCCCCGCCGCCCGUGUUCCCCUCCUAAGCUGCGGGAUGUGGAGCGGGUCGCCGAGGGGGAGGACUAAGGCGAGACGACGCCGGCAUGCCCCGUCGCCGUCAAGGCCCUACGCGCCGCCGACCAGUGCCGUACAGAUCUGUCGCGGCCGAUGCAGCUGAUCCAGCCAUGGUCCUCGCCUAGGAGGAGGACGAGUUUCAUCACACCAGCAGUAGUUCAGGUCCAUGCUCAUCCUCUCUGCUCAUCUUGUGUCGUUGUUCAAAUUCAGAAAUCAACACUAGCUUGUAUAGCAGCAAGUCCGAAAGUAGCUCAUGUACACAAUGAUUUUUUUUGUAUGUGAUAUUAGUGCAGAGCA